rnacentral:rRNA from 1 species
UACGUAGGGGGCAAGCGUUGUCCGGAAUUAUUGGGCGUAAAGCGCGCGCAGGCGGCCGUGUAAGUCUUGUGUUUAACCCCGGGGCUCAACCUCGGGACGCACGGGAAACUGGACGGCUUGAGUGCAGGAGAGGAAAGCGGAAUUCCACGUGUAGCGGUGAAAUGCGUAGAGAUGUGGAGGAACACCAGUGGCGAAGGCGGCUUUCUGGCCUGUAACUGACGCUGAGGCGCGAAAGCGUGGGGAGCGAACAGG